GGUUAAGCGACUAAGCGUACACGGUGGAUGCCCUGGCAGUCAGAGGCGAUGAAGGACGUGCUAAUCUGCGAAAAGCGUCGGUAAGGUGAUAUGAACCGUUACAGCCGGCGAUGUCCGAAUGGGGAAACCCAGUGCAAUUCGUUGCACUAUCGUUAACUGAAUACAUAGGUUAACGAGGCGAACCGGGGGAACUGAAACAUCUAAGUACCCCGAGGAAAAGAAAUCAACCGAGAUUCCCCCAGUAGCGGCGAGCGAACGGGGAGCAGCCCAGAGUCUGAAUCAGCUUGUGUGUUAGUGGAACGGUCUGGAAAGUCCGACGGUACAGGGUGAUAGUCCCGUACACCAAAAUGCACAGGCUGUGAACUCGAAGAGUAGGGCGGGACACGUGGUAUCCUGUCUGAAUAUGGGGGGACCAUCCUCCAAGGCUAAAUACUCCUGACUGACCGAUAGUGAACCAGUACCGUGAGGGAAAGGCGAAAAGAACCCCGGCGAGGGGAGUGAAAAAGAACCUGAAACCGUGUACGUACAAGCAGUGGGAGCACCUUCGGGUGUGACUGCGUACCUUUUGUAUAAUGGGUCAGCGACUUAUAUUCUGUAGCAAGGUUAACCGUAUAGGGGAGCCGCAGGGAAACCGAGUCUUAACUGGGCGUUAAGUUGCAGGGUAUAGACCCGAAACCCGGUGAUCUAGCCAUGGGCAGGUUGAAGGUUGGGUAACACUAACUGGAGGACCGAACCGACUAAUGUUGAAAAAUUAGCGGAUGACUUGUGGCUGGGGGUGAAAGGCCAAUCAAACCGGGAGAUAGCUGGUUCUCCCCGAAAGCUAUUUAGGUAGCGCCUCGUGAAUUCAUCUUCGGGGGUAGAGCACUGUUUCGGCUAGGGGGUCAUCCCGACUUACCAACCCGAUGCAAACUACGAAUACCGAAGAAUGUUAUCACGGGAGACACACGGCGGGUGCUAACGUCCGUCGUGAAGAGGGAAACAACCCAGACCGCCAGCUAAGGUCCCAAAGUCAUGGUUAAGUGGGAAACGAUGUGGGAAGGCACAGACAGCCAGGAUGUUGGCUUAGAAGCAGCCAUCAUUUAAAGAAAGCGUAAUAGCUCACUGGUCGAGUCGGCCUGCGCGGAAGAUGUAACGGGGCUAAACCAUGCACCGAAGCUGCGGCAGCGACACUAUGUGUUGUUGGGUAGGGGAGCGUUCUGUAAGCCUGCGAAGGUGACCUGUGAGGGUUGCUGGAGGUAUCAGAAGUGCGAAUGCUGACAUAAGUAACGAUAAAGCGGGUGAAAAGCCCGCUCGCCGGAAGACCAAGGGUUCCUGUCCAACGUUAAUCGGGGCAGGGUGAGUCGACCCCUAAGGCGAGGCCGAAAGGCGUAGUCGAUGGGAAACAGGUUAAUAUUCCUGUACUUGGUGUUACUGCGAAGGGGGGACGGAGAAGGCUAUGUUAGCCGGGCGACGGUUGUCCCGGUUUAAGCAUGUAGGCUGGUUAUCCAGGCAAAUCCGGAUAAUCAAGGCUGAGGUGUGAUGACGAGGCACUACGGUGCUGAAGUAACAAAUGCCCUGCUUCCAGGAAAAGCCUCUAAGCAUCAGGUAACAUCAAAUCGUACCCCAAACCGACACAGGUGGUCAGGUAGAGAAUACCAAGGCGCUUGAGAGAACUCGGGUGAAGGAACUAGGCAAAAUGGUGCCGUAACUUCGGGAGAAGGCACGCUGGUGUGUAGGUGAAGUCCCUGCGGAUGGAGCUGAGACCAGUCGAAGAUACCAGCUGGCUGCAACUGUUUAUUAAAAACACAGCACUGUGCAAACACGAAAGUGGACGUAUACGGUGUGACGCCUGCCCGGUGCCGGAAGGUUAAUUGAUGGGGUUAUCCGUAAGGAGAAGCUCUUGAUCGAAGCCCCGGUAAACGGCGGCCGUAACUAUAACGGUCCUAAGGUAGCGAAAUUCCUUGUCGGGUAAGUUCCGACCUGCACGAAUGGCGUAAUGAUGGCCAGGCUGUCUCCACCCGAGACUCAGUGAAAUUGAACUCGCUGUGAAGAUGCAGUGUACCCGCGGCAAGACGGAAAGACCCCGUGAACCUUUACUAUAGCUUGACACUGAACAUUGAGCCUUGAUGUGUAGGAUAGGUGGGAGGCUUUGAAGCGUGGACGCCAGUCU
rnacentral:rRNA from 1 species